GUACGGGAGGCAGCAGUGGGGAAUAUUGCGCAAUGGGCGAAAGCCUGACGCAGCGACGCCGCGUGUGGGAUGACGGCCUUCGGGUUGUAAACCACUGUCGGGAGGGACGAAUGCGCCGCAAGGCGAGUGACGGUACCUCCAAAGGAAGCACCGGCUAACUCCGUGCCAGCAGCCGCGGUAAUACGGAGGGUGCGAGCGUUGUCCGGAAUCACUGGGCGUAAAGGGCGCGUAGGCGGCCUGAUAAGUAGGGGGUGAAAUCCUGCGGCUUAACCGCAGGGCUGCCUUCUAAACUGUCAGGCUAGAGCACAGUAGAGGCAGGUGGAAUUCCCGGUGUAGCGGUGGAAUGCGUAGAGAUCGGGAAGAACAUCAGUGGCGAAGGCGGCCUGCUGGGCUGUUGCUGACGCUGAGGCGCGACAGCGUGGGGAGCAAACAGGAUUAGAUACCCCGGU
rnacentral:rRNA from 1 species